UACGGGGGGGGCAAGCGUUGUUCGGAAUUACUGGGCGUAAAGGGCUCGUAGGCGGCCAACUAAGUCAGACGUGAAAUCCCUCGGCUUAACCGGGGAACUGCGUCUGAUACUGGAUGGCUUGAGUUUGGGAGAGGGAUGCGGAAUUCCAGGUGUAGCGGUGAAAUGCGUAGAUAUCAGGAGGAACACCAAUGGCGAAGGCAGCUCGCUGGGACGGUACUGACGCUGAGGAGCGAAAGCGUGGGUAGCAAACAGG
rnacentral:rRNA from 1 species